AGUGGAAUUGUUGGGUUAUUACAAUAAUAAUAACUCUGAUUAACUUUUUGAGGAACUAAGAGACUCUUUCCAAAAUUGGCUACAUAUUUAGUCAUUCCCACUGGCAAU
rnacentral:pre_miRNA from 1 species